rnacentral:rRNA from 1 species
CCUACGUGUGGCAGCAGUGGGGAAUAUUGCACAAUGGGGGAAACCCUGAUGCAGCGCCGCCGCGUGAGUGAAGAAGUAUUUCGGUACGUAAAGCUCUAUCAGCAGGGACGAAAAUGACGGUACCUGACUAAGAAGCACCGGCUAACUACGUGCCAGCAGCCGCGGUAAUACGGAGGGGGCAAGCGUUAUCCGGCUUUACUGGGGGUAAAGGUAUCGUAGACGGCAGCGCAAGGCUGCAGUGAAAUCCCAUGGCUUAACCAUGGAACUGCUUUGGAAACUGUGCAGCUGGAGUGCAGGAGAGGUAAGCGGAAUUCCUAGUGUAGCGGUGAAAUGCGGAGAUAUUAGGAGGAACACCAGUGGCGAAGGCGGCUUACUGGACUGUAACUGACGUUGAGGCUCGAAAGCGUGGGGAGCAAACAGGAUUAGAUACCCUUGUAGUC